rnacentral:rRNA from 1 species
UGGCGAACGGGUGAGUAACACGUGGGUGAUCUGCCCUGCACUCUGGGAUAAGCCUGGGAAACUGGGUCUAAUACCGGAUAGGACCGCACUUUAGUGUGUGUGGUGGAAAGUUUUUUCGGUGUAGGAUGAGCUCGCGGCCUAUCAGCUUGUUGGUGGGGUAAUGGCCUACCAAGGCGGCGACGGGUAGCCGGCCUGAGAGGGUGUACGGCCACAUUGGGACUGAGAUACGGCCCAG